UUUGCAUCGGUUCGGAACAGACGUGUGUUUUCCCGAGCUCGCGUUCUUUUUUCUUCGAGUGCCAGAAGAAAGUGCUUUAAAACAUGGCCGCCCUCAAAUUCCAAUUGCUUUGCGAAUAUUCCUCGGAAGAUGGAACCUAGCGUUCCGUCGGAAGGGAAUAUCUCGCAGAGGCAAUAUCACGUUUCGAAAACACUUUGUUUACCUGUACUAUUUUUUGGGAAGGAGAGGAGGCGAUGCUGGCGUACAAAUAAGAUUUUACAACAUGACGAUCCAAAUAGCAGUACGGAUUUCGGAUAAAGAAGCACCCAGAGGAUACUAAAGCAACUUAUUGGUUUUAUUUGUCAUUUAACACAAUAGUCAGUUAUUCAUUAAACAACAAAAGUAUGACUGCCAAUAAACAAAUAUUUUAAGCAAAAAAA